UACGGAGGAUCCGAGCGUUAUCCGGAUUUAUUGGGUUUAAAGGGUGCGCAGGCGGGAGAUUAAGUCGGCGGUGAAAUUUUGCAGCUCAACUGUAAAAGUGCCUUCGAAACUGGUUUCCUUGAGUGUAGAUGAAGUAGGCGGAAUUUGUGGUGUAGCGGUGAAAUGCUUAGAUAUCGCGAGGAACUCCGAUUGCGCAGGCAGCUUACUAAACUACUACUGACGCUCAGGCACGAAGGCGUGGGGAUCAAACAGGAUUAGAUACCCCGGUAGUCCCU
rnacentral:rRNA from 1 species